rnacentral:sRNA from 1 species
AGGAGUUAGGAUGGCUGGGGGGGAUACCCACCGGCUGAAGGCCGACUGUGAUUCCCUCUACCCCCACAAGGCGAUUUUGACCUCCUGAGGGCUGCUCUAGAGGACUCAGGCCCCGAAGCUGUCCCAGGGAGGUCCCCGCUGCAUCCCAUCACCCAAACUGUGCCUCAUGGAGUCGAUGUUUAGCAGCCCUGCCGAGGCGGCGCUGCAGCGAGAGGCCGGGAUGCCAGGACUGCUCACUCCUCUUCCGGACCUGGACCGAGUGUUGCCUUGCAGUUCCCUGACCAGCUAUUGGGAGAUGCUGUGGCUGUGGCUGCACGACUGGAGGAGACGACAGGGUCAAAGAUGUUCAUUCUGGGUGACACAGCCUACGGCAGGUGUGAACUUGGCCUUAGGUGGGCCAGGCCUGGGGAUCCGGGGCUCAUGGGGUUUUACUUCUAUGACAGUGAUUGCCUUCAAUGGUGGUGUUUCUCCUUGAUGAUAAUGGUAAUGACUCCCCUCCUGAUGCUAGCUCCCUUCAUUGACAAUGUCUUCCUUUAGUGAAACCAUUUUAUUCACUGACCACAUUUCCCAGUGAUGACAGCAACUCGCCU